CCCCCCCCCCCCCCCCCCCAAAAAAAAGAAAAGCAAACGAUUUUUCUAUAACUUCGAAAAACUUUACAUCUGUAGAUACAAAAAUUGCAUUUACUGUAAAUCAAACCCUAUACUUGCUUAGUGAUGUUAUAUAAUAAUAUUCACAUAUUAACAGCUAGAUAUCAUGUUACUUAAGUUGAAAUAUGUAUCACCUAGUAUAAAUUAAUUGAAAUACCCGUAAUCUGAACAAUUAAUGUUUUACAUGUGCCUCGUGGUACAUACAAGGUCUUCUCCUCGAUCAUGGCUUUUUUUUUUUUUUUUUUUUUUUUUGGCCAAACUCCUCGAUCAUGGCUAAGAGUCAAUACUAUAGUAGUAUAAGUCUAUAAGAUACUUAGGCAGGUAACCUCAAUUAAGUGUCAAUGAUUAAUCGGUCGUUAUCUAAGUAAAUGUAAUAUUACAGCUAGAUAUCAUGUUACUUAAGUUGAAAUAUGUAUCACCUAGUAUAAAUUAAUUGAAAUACCCGUAAUCUGAACAAUUAAUGUUUUACAUGUGCCUCGUGGUACAUACAAGGUCUUCUCCUCGAUCAUGGCUAAGAGUCAAUACUAUAGUAGUAUAAGUCUAUAAGAUACUUAGGCAGGUAACCUCAAUUAAGUGUCAAUGAUUAAUCGGUCGUUAUCUAAGUACAUGUAAUAUUACAGCUAGAUAUCAUGUUAUUUAAGUUGAAUUACAUAUCUAGUAUAAAUUAAUUAAACUACCUGUAAUCUGAACAAUUCAAUGUUUCCAUGUGCUUAAAGGUCUUCUCCUUGAUCAUGGUUAAGAGAUAAUAUUGUAGACUAAAUAUUAGUAGUAUAUCUAAGCGAGGGUGUGUGCAAGACGUGAACACAGGUAAAACAUUUCUUAAAACCAAGGCACAUAUAAAAAAAAUAUUUCUUAAAACGACUUAAGAAUCACGGACUCUACAUUGUUAAAAGAGGGUGUGUGCAAGACAUGAAAUAGUUAAAUAGCAAAAAUUAAUCAUUCUUAUCUGCUAAAUGUUGGUAUUACUACUAACAAGUUUAAGCGCGGGAUGAACAUGUUAUAUACAAAUUAUUUUUAUGUAUUAUUAGCUGUUUAACGUUUUUACAUAUUAUGAGACAAAUUAAAAAAAAAAAUAUAUAUAUAUAUAUAUGAAUAAUUGAAAACUAUUAACUGUUACAUAUAUAAUAAAAGCUACACAAAUACAUAGAUUCAAGAAAUCACUUUUGUUUUACUUACAAUCAUUUUGUGGUAAAUAAGUUUAAAUAAUUAUUUUUCUAAUUUGUAUGGUAUGUAAUUAAAUUUACAUAAAUAUCAACAUAGAUAUAUAUAUUAUAUUAUAAUAUUACUAUCUAUUAAAUGAACCUUCAUAAUCAUGUGUUUUUUUAUGAUCAUUUGUAUUUUUAACAAAAAAAUUAAGUCAUUAAUUACAAAACUUUUAGUGUGAAAUUUUUUAUGUUUACCACUUUGUUGGUACCAUUAUUCAUGUUUACCUUCACUAAACAGAUAUUUUCAAAAAUACAUUUUUCAAUAAAAGAUAAAAAAAAACUUUUAUACUUUCACUUUAUAUAUAUAAUAAAUAAAAAUUUCGAAUUACAAACUUUUCAAUUUUUUUUUUUUUUGAAAUUCGAAAAUUCUUUUCUCAAGGAAUACGUGAUGAAAGUGAAACAGAAUUAUUUGAGCAGUAACAAAUAAUAUUUACCUAAAUACGAGUUGUCCACUGUUAUAAUAUUUUUUUUUGUUUCAAAAAAAAACACCUAUAACUAUUUCAGAAGUACAUAUUUUUUAUGCUUAAAGAUAAGGGCUUAUUUGCCAAAUAACAAAAAAAAAAGUAAAAAUUAGACUUGUAGAGAGAAGCAAGAGAGAUAUAGGAAGAGAAACUAAAGAGACAGAGAUAUUUUGGUUAGUCUUUGAAUCUAUGUUGUUUUGUAAAGAUAAUACGAGAGGUAAGUUACAAAAAAAAAAGAUAAUACGAGAGGCUGAACAUUGAUACGUGGUGCCAACUUAGUAUCGUUAAUACUUAAUAGUCGUAAGUAGGCAACUAGUAUACUUAGGCAUGGGCGUUCGGGACCAUCGGUUUCGGUUCGGUUGAUUCAGAUUUUCGGUGUUAUGCUCAUAAGUUCCGUUUGGGUUUUACUGAUUAUCAGAUCGGGUUUGGUUCGGUUUCUUUCGGCUUCGGUUCGGAUUGUAACAAAUAUUUGAAAUCGUCCAAAAAUAUAUUUUUUAAACCUCAAAAUUUGAUAUUAUUUUUUAUAAAAUAUAGAAAUUAUUAACAAAUCUAAUUAAAAAUUGGUUAAACUAUCUAAAUUAACUAAAAAUAUUCAAAAUAGCGAAUAAAACAAACUACAAAAAUAUUUUGAAUACUCUAAAAUAUCUAAAUCACCUUAACAUAUAUAGAAACACUAACAUAUUUAACUAAUUUCAGAUAUCUCCGGAUUCUAGUUUGGAUUUCGGUUCGAUUCGGGUUAUAACCAAAUCCCAAAGUACGAAGCUCAUAAGUCCCAUGCGGAUAUUUUUGUAUAACAGUUCGGAUCCGGUUUUUUUUAGGUUCGGGUUUAGGUAAAUAUUUCGGGUUGCGGUAAAAACGCCCAUGCCUAAGUAUACUCUUCGAAUUCUUUUUUAAAUUAUGUGUUAUAUUCGUUGCAUUUAAUCGGUCAGUGAAUCAAGAUAUCGAGUGAAAAAAUAUUUUGGUUGUGAUUGAGAAUUUAGAGUAAAUAGGUGAAAAAUGAAAAAGUGAAGAUGAAAGGAAAAAUAAAAGUGGAAGAGAGAGAGUAAAGUGGAGUAAAUGUAUUUACUUUUACUUUAGUGAGUAAAAUUGUAUGUGUAUUUUACUCUUUUUAACAGUGUUUAGAAAAAGUAGAAGGAAAAUAACUUUCACUUGAUUGGCUAAAAAGUAGAGUAACUCAGCUGAAACAAUAUUUACUCUACUAGAUUAUCGCUAAUAAUUAUUAUCGGUCAAAGCCUUUGUAUUUGUUAUCGUAUACUCCCUCUGUUUCGUAAAAAUAAAUGGCAUUCAAAUGUUGGUGUUUGUUCAAUUUUCUGAGCAAAAAAGAACAUCUCCAUAUUUCUUUACUAAUACCAUAGUACUCUUUCUAUUUUAUAAAAAAAGUCAUUCUAACAUUUUCUUGUUAUACAAAAAAUGUCAUUUUAAAAUUUCAAUGCAAAUUAUAUUUAUUUUCAGUUUAAAAUUAACUGUAUAGUGAAUUGAUUUUAUAAAUAAUUUUAUUUAUUUCAAAUACUAUUGGUCAAACAAGUUUAAUUAACAAGAAUUUAAAUAUAUUUUAAUCAUUUUCUUAAUAUUUGUGAAAAAUGUUCAAGUGAUAUUUAUUUAAAAAAACUGAGAGAGUAUUAAAAUAAAACUAAACUGUUCAUGAAUGGAUUUCCACAAACUUGUAUAUGUUUAAGCAGUAAACUCUACUGCUCUCUUGGUGUAGAUUAUUAUGCAAUAAACACUUGGAAUAUAUUAUCGGUAGGUUCUUAACACAAGUUUCAAAAUAAAUAAAUUAAAAUAAUGAAAAGUUAAGAUAGAAAAAAAAGAGAGAAAGGUUUUAAAACAACUACCUUUAAGAUACGGUUUAGAAACCUAUUCACAUAUGGGUCAGUUGGUCAUUAGUUUUAUUUUUUACAAAAAAUUAAAAAGUAGAAAAAUUAUUAUAAAUAUUAAUAUAUUUUGUUCUUUUAGUAAUUCUUAUCGAUUCUAACAGAUAAGCAUUUACUUACUCCCUUGGUUUUCAUGCACUUGAAAUAUGUUUAAGGUUGUUACACCCAAAUUAAAGGUUUAUCUAAUUGUUUUUGAACUAAAACAUUAUUUAUCAUCUACAUUAUGUAGAUGGCAAUCAUGAAUCUUGACCGCGAGUUUGGCCUGUAAAGGACUGUCGCGGUACGGUAUUGGAACAAGGUUUUCUAUGCCCGCAAAUUUGCGGGCCUCACGGGACGGGUCUUUGCGGGACUGGAUCUUUUGCGGGAUGGCCGAAACGGGUCAUGCGGGAUUACAUGGACCCGCAUUUUUUUCAUUUCUUAUUUUACCUGAAAAACAAGAAAAAGAGUGAGAAAAAAGCGAUUCUUGUGACUUUUUCCCCAGAAAACAUAAGGAGUUCCGCCGAUGAUGCAUGAUUCGAGCUCUGGUGAUGAUGAUUCGAGCUCCGGCGAUGACGACUCCAGAUCUAGCGAUGACGAUUCGAGUUCUGGUGGUGUUUUUAUUUGGUUUUUUUUUAUUACACACAACUAUGAAUUGCUUUAUUACAGUGUGAUAUUUCUUGUUUAAUUUGAUUGGUUUUGUUUUCAUUACUGUGAAGUGGUGUUUUUCUUAAAUUAAAUUUGGUUACAAUGGUGUUGUUUAGGAGAAAAUUUAGUUGUAUAUCACGCCACUUGUAUAAUUUAGUAAAGUGAUUCACGAAUUUUUUUGCAAUCCAAAUAAUUAAAAAGAGAGAUUAUUUGAUGAAGACAUACAACACUUGAACCAAAUUAUUACAAAGACAACAACUCAAUCAGGUUCAAACUCAACAAAAGCUUAUGCUGAUAACAAAUGAAGACUUUUAACUCAAGAACACUAGCACAAACAGAACAUUGUGGCAUUGAUUUUCAUAAGUCUUUUGUGAAGGUAAAUGAGCUCUCUUCAACUUUCUUACACAACUCUUCUACUUGAACGUUCAUGAAAGAAACUGUAGUAGGCCGUUUGAUAAGGAGGCGUCCCAUAGAACGGUCCGCAAAGGCCUAUAUAUUUUGCAGUACGGGUUUGGGCUGGCAUUUUGAAGACUGCAGCCCGCGCGGGACAGGCCCGCGGUAACCCGCUCGACGACUAAUCCGCUGCAGUACGGGAUGGGUAAACAUGUUUGACAUCUCUAUCUACAUACAUAUAAAUCCACCAAUAAAAGAAAAAUAAUAAAAUAUCAUAAUAUUAACUAUUAUAUUUUAAUUAUAAAUUAUACUUCAGCAAAGUAAGUAUAUAUUGUACUUUUUUGUUAAUAUCAACUUAACAAAUUAUACUUCUACAAACAAAAGAAACAAAAACUCAGCAAACCAUCAUUACCUAUUAGUCUAAAGAUAGUUUGUUUUCUUGCCAUUUCACAAUUUUUUCUUUUUUCGAAACACUUACAUUAAACGACUUUUAUUACAAAAAAAAGUUUAGUUACUUAUAUUGCUGAUGUGAACAGUUAGGGACAAUGCCGAAAUUUAGAGUUGUAAACUGGAUUAGCCCACGUCUAUUAGUUCAUAUCCAUUUAUUCAUUUAUUGUUUGUGGACAAAGAAUGACCAUGUCCAUUACGAACAAUGUCCAUUAAGGACCAGAUCCACUAACAUCCAUGUUUACAUGGGUUGCCAUGGAGUCCAUAAUGGACCAUAUAAGAACCUUUUUAAUUUUUAAUCUAUAAGCCUAUAAAUUUUACAGUUUCGGCAAAUAACUCGAUUUUACGGUUUUGACGGACAAACUCGAUUUUUCAAUCUUGCAACGAAAACUCAAUUUUUCAGUUAGUCAAAAUUGAUGGACGUCCAUUGGACAACCCACCUGUUUUACAGCUCUACCGAAAUUUAUUACCGAAAUUUAUUUCUCAACGACCCUACUGAUAUCUAUUUCUUAACGACCCUACUGAUAUCUAUUUAUUAACGACCUUACAUGUGCAUUUUAGUCAAUGUUAUCUAGAUAAUAUUUUGAGUUUUCUAAAAGCAAUUAUUUGAGGGUUUUUUUUACUAAGAUUAUUUGAGGUUUUUCAUUUGCAAUUAUAGACAAUAAUUUCUGGUUACAGCUUUAUGUAUCACGUACGAGAUUGUAAGACGUGAUUUUGUUGUUGACAUGUAGAGAUAACUUGGUACUUCUUUCUCUAAAAAAAACUAUUAGUACUUUUUCAUUAUUAAAAUGUAGGAACAUGCUGGCAUUUGCAUAUGUCGCGCUCCCCCAUGUUUAUAGUGCUCCUUCUGAUUUAUUUUAAUUGAUGUUUUAAAAUUUUAUUUUAUCUCAUUUAAAUAAUAUUUUCAGAAAAAUUAUGCAAAAUUUUAAUGUUAUUUAGUAUUUUGACCAUUUGUAUUCUAUAAUGUAAUCUUUAAUUAUUGGUUAGUGUUAAUUAAUGCAAUAUAUAAAAAUAAACAGAAUAAAUGAAUUAACAAUUUUUAAUAAGCUUGCAAUAUUUUAAAAUAUCAACUAAUUUGAAAUGGAAGUAAUAUUAUUAUUCUACCAGCUUUAUGACAGCUCAUGUCAUAAUUUCUUUUUGUUUUUUGUCAAGAUUUCACAUUUAAGCUUUUGUUCUGAAAAUAGUUUACAAUUCACAAGUCUUUUUUUUUUAACCCUCGCUCUCAUGGUCUUUCUUUAUUGUACUCAUUCAAGUCUUCCUUGAUAUAAAAAUCCAAUAAUUCUUGUAUAUGCAGUAAUUGUCUUCAACAUGCACUACUUAAUACUUUUUGCAUAAUACUCUACUCCGUAGGUUUCGAAAAAUUCCAUGUUUUAAAAAAAUCAAAAAAGAUAUAACUUUUUAAAAAUUUUAGUAUUUUAAUUAGAUAUAAAUCAUAAACUUCAAAAUAUCAAUUACAUUUAUUUAAUUUUAUCAGUUAAAGUUAUUAAAAAUAGUCGAUUACAAAAGACAAUAAAUUAAAAUUAAAAUUUAAUAUUUUUUUAAAUAUAUGUGAUAUUUCAAGAAUAUAUUGGUUCUACUUUAAAAAAAGUGUCAAUUUAACAUAUUUAUUAGUGUAUCGUUAAUUUAAUGUACACUUAUUUAAAUAUAAUUAAUGUAAAUAAACAUAUGUUGGUUAGGUGAAAAGGUAAGAAUAAAUUAUGUAUGAAAAUUGCUUUGUAAAUGUAAAAUAACACUUUAAAAAAAUGAUAGAAAGAUAUUUUCAAAAACAGAAGCAAUAGUUUUUGAAAACAGAUGCAAGACUUUUUUGAAACAGAUGGAGUACUAAGUAGUAUAUUUAUAUAAAAAACAAUUUUCAAUGCAAAAUCAAUUACUUCUUUUAUAUAUUUUGACUAUUUAUAUUUUAUAUAUUAUUUUAUUCUUGGAUUUAUUGUGUUUAAAUAGUUAACAAAGUAUGUUUAUAUUUUUCAUAUUGAAUCACUAACUUUCUGCAGUAAGAAUAUAAUCAUCGAAUAGCUUUAGUAAUUUUUGAAAACAAUGUAAUAUUAAAUAACAAAAUGAAAGUUAUUAGAUAAUUGUUCAAGGAAUAAGACAAUGACUUGAACCACUGACUCCAUUACAAAAUUGAGUUUAUUUUUGUUCUGUCUUAUUUACUAUUCAUAUGUAUGUUUUAGUUUCACACAUAUUAAAAAAUAUAUUACAUUUUAAUAAAAUUUUAUUAUUUUUCUAUAAUUAUCCUUUUCUCGUAAUUUUAAGAAAGAAGUCAACAAAUAUAAUUUUUUGAAGUUUAUAAUGCAUCAUUAUUAUCUAACAUAAAUUGCAUUUAAUUAAUUAUAAAAAUAGUUUUUUAUAAAUAGUUUUUCUAGAACAUGUAUUAUACUGAAACAAGACCGUAGCUUUCAAAAACUCUAAACAUAAAAAAAAGUUAACUUAACCGUAAAAAUACCAAAACAAAGUCUAAAUAUCACACAGUACUAUUCAGAAACUUAAAAGAUAAGACUAAUAUUACAUUUUUAAUUUAAAAUUUCAUGGCACUUUAGUUUCUUUGUUUAACUAUUCGAUGUUUUGUUAUACAUGCUUGUUGGAUAUUUAAAAAAAAAAUGGAUAUGAUGCUAACUUUCUAGCUUUUUAAUAUUCGAUGCUACAAAUGAUAUUGGCUAAUAUUCAAACAACUAAAUUCAUUUUUCUUAACAUUUACACCAAAAAAAAACUAAAUUCAUUUAUCUAUAUAAUAAACCACCAUUAUAAAAUACCAAUAUAUUUUUAAUUAAUACAAAAUAAUAAAUGAAAUAGUAAUUUAUUGAAUUUUAAAAUCAUUAAAUUAAAUAACUUCAAAAAACAUUUAUGGCUUCUAAUUCGAUUGUAUUAAGAGCCGCCUAGGCAUAUUUGUUUCCAUUUAAUAAAAUUACUAUUACAGUUUAAAAAUUUAAAUUAAAAUUCAACCAAAUUAUUUUAAAAUAUUACUUUACUUAUGCUGCCAUAGUUUUAUUUAUUUAUUUAGGAUUAGGAUUAAUAAAAUAAAAUUAUUGGUUAAAAAAUUGAUAGUCAUUAUACAUAGGGAAAUUGCCACAAAUACCACAUUCAUAAUAUCACUUUUCAUGUUUACACUAACUACUUUUACCCUCAUUUUUAGUGAAGAGUAAAAUACAAUUAUACCCUUAGGGUUAACUAAUCUAGAUUUGAGGUUUAGAGUUGAGAGGUGAGAUAGGGUUUUUGGAAUGUGAAAUUUAUGAUUCUAAUAAAUAUAUAAAUACUUAAAAAAUAUAUAAAAUUUUUUAAAAAAAUAGUUUCAAACAUAAUUUUCGUUAUCCAAAAAAAAAUUUGAAAAAAAAAAAUUCAAAAAAAAAAUUU